AACGCACCUUGCACCCUCUGGUAUUCCGGAGGGUAUGCCUGUCUGAGUGUCACGUAACCUUCGUCCCGUCGGGUCAUGCCCGCGGGGUCGGACUUGGGCGCUGCCCCUCUGGGGGCUCGCCUCAAUGGCAUCGGGAUGUCUGCCCGUCCGGCGACGUGUGUUAAGUGACGCGGCGCCGGACGGUAGCGUCCCAUAACCCGCCCGUGGUCGCCGCCUAGCGCCCGGGACCGUAACACCGACCUCAGAUCAGGUAGGACUACCCGCUGAACUUAA
rnacentral:misc_RNA from 1 species